GAUACCUCCUUCACUGGGCUGUUUUAGUUGGAACGAUGUCACACACAGGAGUACCUGGGACCACGUGGGUGCCCAGGGGAUGGCGGGACCGUCGUGGGACUGAGGGCAGUUACUAUGAGUCCAGCACUGGGAGCAUGGAGAUGAAUAAAACAGAAUUCCUGCCCUCAAGUUCUCAGGAAGAGGCAGAGAGACACAUGGAGAGAACACCCAUGUGAGGGCAGAGACUGAGACUGGAGUGACGCAUCUACCAGCCAAGGAACAACAAGUUGCCACCAGGAGCCAGGAGAGAGGCAUGGGGCUGAUUCUCCUCAGGCUUCCACAAGGGAACAACUGUGCGAACGUCUUGUUUUUGGAUUUCUUGCUUCCAGCACUGUGAGAGAAUAAACUUCUGUUGUUUAAA